CCUGUGUCUUAUCUGGAGUGCCAAUUUUUUUCCUCCAAAAUCAGACAGAACAAGGGAAGGUGAAUAAAGAAGGGCUAUUUAAUCCUUUCCCUCAGAUUUGAAACCACAGUAUAUUUCAGAAAACAGAUGUCACUGAGCCAAGAAAAUCUCCCACCUCCCCAUGCCGUAUGCUACUGAGAUUGCAGUUAGUUGCCAUCGCCUAAAAGAUAACAGAUUUAAAUUUAUGCUGGGAGCCUUAUACGGCCAACAACACUUAUA